GGACUACCAGGGUAUCUAAUCCUGUUUGCUCCCCACGCUUUCGCGCCUCAGCGUCAGUCAAGGACCAGGCAGCCGCCUUCGCCACCGGUGUUCUUCCCAAUAUCUACGAAUUUCACCUCUACACUGGGAAUUCCACUACCCUCUUCCUCACUCUAGACCUGACGUAUCAAAUGCAGCCCCCAGGUUAAGCCCGGGAAUUUCACAUCUGACUGUCCGAUCCGCCUACGCGCCCUUUACGCCCAGUCAUUCCGAGCAACGCUAGCCCCCUUCGUAUUACCGCGGCUGCUGGCAC
rnacentral:rRNA from 1 species